GGGGUUGUGGCUCAGUGGUAAAGUGCUUGCCUAGCAUGAAUGAGGUACUGGGUUCGAUUCUCAGCACCACA
rnacentral:tRNA from 1 species